GGGGUGAUUGCUCGGACAAUUGGGAGCAUCUGCCUUACAAGCAGAGGGUCGGGGAUUCGAAUCCCUCUCAGCCCACCC
rnacentral:tRNA from 1 species